rnacentral:rRNA from 1 species
ACAUCCAGCGAACUUGGCAGAGAUGCCUUGGUGCCUUCGGGAACGCUGAGACAGGUGCUGCAUGGCUGUCGUCAGCUCGUGUUGUGAAAUGUUGGGUUAAGUCCCGCAACGAGCGCAACCCUUUAUCCUUUGUUGCCAGCGAUUCGGUCGGGAACUCAAAGGAGACUGCCGGUGAUAAACCGGAGGAAGGUGGGGAUGACGUCAAGUCAUCAUGGCCCUUACGAGUAGGGCUACACACGUGCUACAAUGGCGCAUACAAAGAGAAGCGACCUCGCGAGAGCAAGCGGACCUCAUAAAGUGCGUCGUAGUCCGGAUCGGAGUCUGCAACUCGACUCCGUGAAGUCGGAAUCGCUAGUAAUCGUGGAUCAGAAUGCCACGGUGAAUACGUUCCCGGGCCUUGUACACACCGCCCGUCACACCAUGGGAGUGGGUUGCAAAAGAAGUAGGUAGCUUAACCUUCGGGAGGGCGCUUACCACUUUGCGAUUCAUGACUGGGGUGAAGUCGUAACAAGGUAAGCGUAGCGAG